GACAGAGGGUGCAAACGUUGCUCGGAAUUACUGGGCGUAAAGGGCGCGUAGGCGGACAGUUUAGUCAGAGGUGAAAGCCCAGGGCUCAACCUUGGAAUUGCCUUUGAUACUGGCUGUCUUGAGUUCGGGAGAGGUGAGUGGAAUGCCGAGUGUAGAGGUGAAAUUCGUAGAUAUUCGGCGGAACACCAGUGGCGAAGGCGACUCACUGGCCCGGUACUGACGCUGAGGUGCGAAAGCGUGGGGAGCAAACAGG
rnacentral:rRNA from 1 species